CCUACGGGUGGCAGCAGUGAGGAAUAUUGGUCAAUGGACGAGAGUCUGAACCAGCCAAGUAGCGUGAAGGAUGACUGCCCUAUGGGUUGUAAACUUCUUUUAUAUGGGAAUAAAAUGUUCCACGUGUGGGAUUUUGUAUGUACCAUAUGAAUAAGGAUCGGCUAACUACGUGCCAGCAGCCGCGGUAAUACGGAGGAUCCGAGCGUUAUCCGGUUUUAUUGGGUUUAAAGGGAGCGUAGGUGGAUUGUUAAGUCAGUUGUGAAAGUUUGCGGCUCAACCGUAAAAUUGCAGUUGAAACUGGCAGUCUUGAGUACAGUAGAGGUUGGCGGAAUUCGUGGUGUAGCGGUGAAAUGCUUAGAUAUCACGAAGAACUCCGAUUGCGAAGGUAGUUCACUGGACUGCAACUGACACUGAGGCUCGAAAGUGUGGGUAUCAAACAGGAUUAGAUACCCGGGUAGUC
rnacentral:rRNA from 1 species